CUGCCGUCUAUUAAGCCGACCAGUUCUGCUCAUGUGCACUUCUGGUGUGCAAAGGCUGCAGACAGCGACNCUCUUUGGUUGUGUAUGUCCUCAGCUGGGAGGUGCUGAGUGCUUUAAGGGACCACUGAGACAAAC
rnacentral:snoRNA from 1 species